rnacentral:hammerhead_ribozyme from 24 species
GUGUGUUUUUUCGAUGAUAUCGAAACUGAUGAGUCUUUGCAGAUUUUGAAAAAGACGAAAACAUAU